CAAAGGAGAAAGACAGUUUAAGAAAAGGUCACCUUCGAUGCUUGUGGCUUAUAUGCAAAAAGUCAGAUACAUUGACAAAAGUAUCAUGUUUACUUGAGCCGCCUCACUCACUUAGUAAAAACUGGUUUCUCAAAAGCCACUCAAAGGAACAUUGUGUCAAAAGAUGCUCUCAAAGAUUCCUUGAAAGAUGAAAAGUUCCCAAAUUUGUCUACAACCAAGACAAUCAGUAGCUUCUCAAGAUGACUCAAGUGUGGUCAGAAGAAGAGCCCUCUCUGGCAUAAAGGUCUAUGCAAAACAGUUAAAGUCUUUCGAUUUUAGGCCCAGCUAUUGCAGAAAGUUUAAAGAAUGGGAGUGACCCAGUAAGACUUCCGCUAAGUGUUGUGCUCUGCUUGUUUUUCAGUUAACAAAAGGUUAGUGUUAUGUUGAUUUUGUUUAUCAUAGUUUCUCUUUAGCCUCUUGGAAUUCUCAUAAUUCUUUGACUAUUCAUUCAAUUUCAUUUUAGUAGUAAUUUACUGCAAGUUAUUUAGGCAUUUUACUUCCAAAUCUACUGCAAUCUAUAAUUAUAUGUUGUCAAAUUGAAUUGUCUUUGACUUUAAUAUAUGGAACUACAUGAAAGUACCAUGCUUUAGCAGCUAUCACCUUUCUAUCAAGGUUCUAGAAAAUGUAUCUCGCCAAAAACUUGACAAGCGUAAAAAUAGGCGGAGACAUCCAAUUCCAAAGCUUUUUAAAAAUAGGUUUGAUUCUUGUUUCCACUUGCUUAUAUGUGGAUGAUUGGCCAAUGUUCUUCCCUUUUUCUUGAAAUUUGACAAGAUUUGGAUUCUUGUUUUCCCUUGCUUAUACGUGGAUGAUUGACCAAUGUUCUCCUUUUCUUGAAAUUUGACAAGGAAGAUUGUUAUGUUGGAUAGGGUAUGUAUUGAGAGGACUAUUGACUAUAUCAAGUAAGUUCUUUUCUUCCGAGCAACAUGUAUGCAAGGAGCAUGGACAAAAUCAUUUAGUCAUCCUUUAUGUGUUUUUGAAUGUACUAUUUUGAUGCACUUAAAGUUCCAUAUGAUGAUUUCCUUUUUCAUCAUUGAAAUCUUGGUUUUCAAUUAAUUCUGAGUCUGGGUGGUUAUCUUUUCAAUUCCUUACCUAGAUUUCUUGCCUCUCAACUGUUUCUACUUAGGAACUUUGACUAUCUAAGUUUAGUACUUUGUGAUGUUUCGUAUUGAUCACUCGAGCACGCAUAUUUGAUUUGUGGUUUGAAAUAAUGCUUAUGAUUUAACAAUUAGUUUGAUUCAUAUUAGGAUUAUAAUUGAAAGGAAUUUCUUGUCUAUGGUGUCACCAAAAUUUUGCCUUUUCUAGUAAUAAUUACUCAAAUUGAAUCUUGAUAUCUUUUUAUCUUAUGAGUGAAUGUACUGAACAAAUUGUAAUAUUUAGUGAUAUACCACUAUUGUUUAAAGAUCUAUUGAUAU